rnacentral:tRNA from 1 species
GUUUUCAUACCUCAGUUAGUUAGAACACCCAUUUAGUAAGAAGGAGGUCAUGAGUUCAACUCUCAUUGAAAACA